UAGGGAAUCUUCCGCAAUGGGCGAAAGCCUGACGGAGCAACGCCGCGUGAGUGAUGAAGGUCUUCGGAUCGUAAAACUCUGUUAUUAGGGAAGAACAAUGUGUAAGUAACUAUGCACGUCUUGACGGUACCUAAUCAGAAAGCCACGGCUAACUACGUGCCAGCAGCCGCGGUAAUACGUAGGUGGCAAGCGUUAUCCGGAAUUAUUGGGCGUAAAGCGCGCGUAGGCGGUUUUUUAAGUCUGAUGUGAAAGCCCACGGCUCAACCGUGGAGGGUCAUUGGAAACUGGAAAACUUGAGUGCAGAAGAGGAAAGUGGAAUUCCAUGUGUAGCGGUGAAAUGCGCAGAGAUAUGGAGGAACACCAGUGGCGAAGGCGACUUUCUGGUAUGUAACUGAAGCUAAUGUGCGAAAGCGUGGGGAUCAAACAGG
rnacentral:rRNA from 1 species